rnacentral:rRNA from 1 species
ACCCGAGUAAUUGCCGCCGAUCGCACGGCCCUCGAGCCGGCGACACCUUCACUGAGUUUCUGAUCUAUCAUGCUGACGACGGUUGGUGCUAUGCCAACCGUGGCGUUAACGGAUAACAGAGAAUCUGGGUUCGAUUCUGGAGAGGCCGCAUGAGAAACGGCGACCACUUCUAAGGAAGGCAGCAGGCACGCAAAUUACCCACUUCGGACACCGAGAGGUAGUGACGAACAAUACCGAUGCGGCGCACUUUCGUGUCGCCGUAAUCGGAAUGAGUACACUUCAAAUCCUUUAACGAGGAUCCACUGGAGGGCAAGCCUGGUGCCAGCAGCCGCGGUAAUUCCAGCUCCAGCAGCGUAUAUUUAUAUUGCUGCGUUUAAAAAGCUCGUAGUUGAAGCGUCAGACGCGGGAGGGCGGACGGCCGCACUGGUCGCUCUCGCCCGACCGAGCCAGGCGCAGAGGGCGCGCGUCGCUUGCACUUCGCCGUGUGAGCGCGCCGCCGCUGCACGUUCACCUUGAAGAAAUUGAACCGCUUAGAGGGGGCGAGCAGCUUGUACAGCUCAGCAUGGUAUGAUGGAACAUGGGCUCGUACUCAUUUUGUUGGUUAGAGAGUUGGCGAGCCAAUGAUUAACAGGGACUGCCGGGGGCAUUCGUACUCGGACGGGAGAGGUGAAAUUCAAGGAUCGUCCGAAGACGCCCUACUGCGAAAGCAUUUGCCAAGAAUGUUUUCAUUAAUCAAGAACGAAAGUCAGAGGUGCGAAGGCGAUCAGAUACCGCCGUAGUUCUGACCGUAAACGAUGCCGACUGGCAAUUGGGCGCACUUCUGUCGAAGUUGCCGCCAGCAGUAUUGCCCGGGAAACCAAAGUCAUUGGGUUCCGGGGGGAGUAUGGUUGCAAAGCUGAAACUUAAAGGAAUUGACGGAAGGGCACCACCAGGAGUGGAGCCUGCGGCUUAAUUUGACUCAACACGGGAAACCUCACCCGGCCCGAACACUGUUAUGACAGACAGGUUGAGAGCUCUUUCUCGAUUCAGUGGUUGGUGGUGCAUGGCCGUUCUUAGUUCGUGGAGCGAUCUGUCUGGUUAAUUCCGAUAACGAACGAGACUCUUGCCUGCUAAAUAGACGGCGUCGACUUCUGUCGGCGGCCGUUCGCUUCUUAGAGGGACAAGCGGCUUUUAGCCGCGUGAAGCCGAGAGCAAUAACAGGUCAGUGAUGCCCUCAGAUGUUCGGGGCCGCACGCGCGCUACACUGUUUGCAUCAGCGUGUUUCUCCCGCGCCGGCUGGCGUGGGCAACCCGUUGAACCGCAAACGUGCUAGGGAUCGGAGAUUGCAAUUGUUCUCCGUGAACGAGGAAUUCCUUGUACUGGCGAGUCAUCAGCUCGCGGGGAAUCUGUCCCUGCCCUUUGUACACACCGCCCGUCGCUACUACCGAUUGAGUGGUUUAGUGAGGCUCACGGACUGCGCGCGGCACACGGCGUCCUCGGGCGUCGCGUCGCGAGGCGGAAAGUGAGACGAACUUGAUCACUU